rnacentral:rRNA from 1 species
AACGAACGCCGGCGGCAUGCCUAACACAUGCAAGUCGAACGAGACCUUCGGGUCUAGUGGCGCACGGGUGCGUAACGCGUGGGAACCUGCCCUUAGGUUCGGAAUAACUCCCCGAAAGGGGUGCUAAUACCGGAUAAUGUCUUCGGACCAAAGAUUUAUCGCCUUUGGAUGGGCCCGCGUUGGAUUAGCUAGUUGGUAGGGUAAAAGCCUACCAAGGCGACGAUCCAUAGCUGGUCUGAGAGGAUGAUCAGCCACACUGGGACUGAGACACGGCCCAGACUCCUACGGGAGGCAGCAGUGGGGAAUAUUGGACAAUGGGCGAAAGCCUGAUCCAGCAAUGCCGCGUGAGUGAUGAAGGCCUUAGGGUUGUAAAGCUCUUUUACCCGGGAUGAUAAUGACAGUACCGGGAGAAUAAGCUCCGGCUAACUCCGU